rnacentral:rRNA from 1 species
ACGUAGGUGGCGAGCGUUGUCCGGAUUUACUGGGUGUAAAGGGCGUGUAGGCGGGAGAUCAAGUCAGAUGUGAAAUACCGCAGCUUAACUGCGGGGCUGCAUUUGAAACUGAACUUCUUGAGUGAUGGAGAGGCAAGCGGAAUUCCUAGUGUAGCGGUGAAAUGCGUAGAUAUUAGGAGGAACACCAGUGGCGAAGGCGGCUUGCUGGACAUUAACUGACGCUGAGGCGCGAAAGCGUGGGGAGCAAACAG